rnacentral:rRNA from 1 species
GACGAACGCUUGCGGCGUGCUUAACACAUGCAAGUGGAACGGAGAGGCCCUGCUUUUGUGGGGUGCUCGAGUGGCGAACGGGUGAGUAACUCGUGAGUAACCUGCCCUUGACUUUGGGAUAACUUCAGGAAACUGGGGCUAAUACCGGAUAGGAGCUCCUGCUGCAUGGUGGGGGUUGGAAAGUUUCGGCGGUUGGGGAUGGACUCGCGGCUUAUCAGCUUGUUGGUGGGGUAGUGGCUUACCAAGGCUUUGACGGGUAGCCGGCCUGAGAGGGUGACCGGCCACAUUGGGACUGAGAUACGGCCCAGACUCCUACGGGAGGCAGCAGUGGGGAAUAUUGCACAAUGGGCGGAAGCCUGAUGCAGCAACGCCGCGUGCGGGAUGACGGCCUUCGGGUUGUAAACCGCUUUCGCCUGUGACGAAGCGUGAGUGACGGUAAUGGGUAAAGAAGCACCGGCUAACUACGUGCCAGCAGCCGCGGUGAUACGUAGGGUGCGAGCGUUGUCCGGAUUUAUUGGGCGUAAAGGGCUCGUAGGUGGUUGAUCGCGUCGGAAGUGUAAUCUUGGGGCUUUAACCUGAGCGUGGCUUUCGAUUCGGUUUGACUUGAGGAAGGUAGGGGAGGAUGGAAUUCCUGGUGGAGCGGUGAAAUGCGCAGAUAUCAGGAGGAACACCAGUGGCGAAGGCGUUCUCUGGGCCUUUCCUGACGCUGAGAGCGAAAAGCGUGGGAGCGAACAGGCUUAGAUACCCUGGUAGUCCACGCUGUAAACGGUGGGUACUAGGUGUGGGGUCCAUUCCACGGGUUCCGUGCCGUAGCUAACGCUUUAAGUACCCCGCCUGGGGAGUACGGCCGCAAGGCUAAAACUCAAAGGAAUUGACGGGGCCCCGCACAAGCGGCGGAGCAUGCGGAUUAAUUCGAUGCAACGCGUAGAACCUUACCUGGGUUUGACAUGGAUCGGGAGUGCUCAGAGAUGGGUGUGCCUCUUUUGGGGUCGGUUCACAGGUGGUGCAUGCCUGUCGUCAGCUCGUGUCGUGAGAUGUUGGGUUAAGUCCCGCAACGAGCGCAACCCUUGUUCACUGUUGCCAGCACGUUAUGGUGGGGACUCAGUGGAGACCGCCGGGGUCAACUCGGAGGAAGGUGGGGAUGACGUCAAGUCAUCAUGCCCCUUAUGUCCAGGGCUUCACGCAUGCUACAAUGGCUGGUACAGAGAGUGGCGAGCCUGUGAGGGUGAGCGAAUCUCGGAAAGCCGGUCUCAGUUCGGAUUGGGGUCUGCAACUCGACCUCAUGAAGUCGGAGUCGCUAGUAAUCGCAGAUCAGCAACGCUGCGGUGAAUACGUUCCCGGG